rnacentral:rRNA from 1 species
UAGUCCACGCCGUAAACGAUGGAUACUAGGUGUCCGGGAUAUUAACCUCCUGGGUACUACAGUUAACGCGUUAAGUAUCCCGCCUGGGGAGUACGGUCGCAAGGCUAAAACUCAAAUGAAUUGACGGGGGCCCGCACAAGCGGUGGAGCAUGUGGUUUAAUUCGACGCAACGCGAAGAACCUUACCUGGCCUUGGCAUGCAGAGAACUUUCCAGAGAUGGAUUGGUGCCUUCGGGAACUCUGACACAGGUGCUGCAUGGCCGUCGUCAGCUCGUGUCGUGAGAUGUUGGGUUAAGUCCCGUAACGAGCGCAACCCCUAUCCUUAGUUGCUAGCAGGUAAUGCUGAGAACUCUAGGGAGACUGCCGGUGACAAACCGGAGGAAGGUGGGGAUGACGUCAGGUCAUCAUGGCCCUUACGGCCAGGGCUACACACGUGCUACAAUGGUGCGCACAGAGGGCCGCAAACCCGCGAGGGGGAGCCGAAUCUCACAAAACGCAUCGUAGUCCGGAUCGGAGU